rnacentral:rRNA from 1 species
ACGAACGCUGGCGGCGUGCUUAACACAUGCAAGUCGAACGGAAAGGCCCCCUUGUGGGGUACUCGAGUGGCGAACGGGUAAGUAACACGUGAGUAACCUACCCUUGACUUUGGGAUAACUUCAGGAAACUGGGGCUAAUACCGGAUAGGAGCUCCUGCUGCAUGGUGGGGGUUGGAAAGUUUCGGCGGUUGGGGAUGGACUCGCGGCUUAUCAGCUUGUUGGUGGGGUAGUGGCUCACCAAGGCUUUGACGGGUAGCCGGCCUGAGAGGGUGACCGGCCACAUUGGGACUGAGAUACGGCCCAGACUCCUACGGGAGGCAGCAGUGGGGAAUAUUGCACAAUGGGCGGAAGCCUGAUGCAGCAACGCCGCGUGCGGGAUGACGGCCUUCGGGUUGUAAACCGCUUUCGCCUGUGACGAAGCGUGAGUGACGGUAAUGGGUAAAGAAGCACCGGCUAACUACGUG